GACGGGGGGGGCAAGUGUUCUUCGGAAUGACUGGGCGUAAAGGGCAUGUAGGCGGUGAAUCGGGUUGAAAGUGAAAGUCGCCAAAAAGUGGCGGAAUGCUCUCGAAACCAAUUCACUUGAGUGAGACAGAGGAGAGUGGAAUUUCAUGUGUAGGGGUGAAAUCCGUAGAUCUACGAAGGAACGCCAAAAGCGAAGGCAGCUCUCUGGGUCCCUACCGACGCUGGGGUGCGAAAGCAUGGGGAGCGAACAGG
rnacentral:rRNA from 1 species